GAUGAACGCUGGCGGCGUGCCUAAUACAUGCAAGUCGAGCGAACAGACGAGGAUCUUGCUCCUCUGACGUUAGCGGCGGACGGGUGAGUAACACGUGGAUAACCUACCUAUAAGACUGGGAUAACUUCGGGAAACCGGAGCUAAUACCGGAUAAUAUAUUGAACCGCAUGGUUCAAUAGUGAAAGACGGUUUUGCUGUCACUUAUAGAUGGAUCCUCGCCGCAUUAGCUAGUUGGUAAGGUAACGGCUUACCAAGGCAACGAUGCGUAGCCGACCUGAGAGGGUGAUCGGCCACACUGGAACUGAGACACGGUCCAGACUCCUACGGGAGGCAGCAGUAGGGAAUCUUCCGCAAUGGGCGAAAGCCUGACGGAGCAACGCCGCGUGAGUGAUGAAGGUCUUCGGAUCGUAAAACUCUGUUAUUAGGGAAGAACAAAUGUGUAAGUAACUAUGCACGUCUUGACGGUACCUAAUCAGAAAGCCACGGCUAACUUCGUG
rnacentral:rRNA from 1 species